rnacentral:snRNA from 1 species
GUGUUUGCUUUGGUAGCACACAUACUAAAAUUGAAAUGAUACAGAGCAAUUAGCAUGGCUCCUGCACAAGGAUGACACUUAAAUUCAUGAAGCAUUUCAUAUUUUG